rnacentral:rRNA from 1 species
GACCAGACUCCUACGGGAGGCAGCAGUGGGGAAUAUUGCACAAUGGGGGAAACCCUGAUGCAGCGACGCCGCGUGAGCGAUGAAGUAUUUCGGUAUGUAAAGCUCUAUCAGCAGGGAAGAAGAUGACGGUACCUGACUAAGAAGCCCCGGCUAACUACGUGCCAGCAGCCGCGGUAAUACGUAGGGGGCAAGCGUUAUCCGGAUUUACUGGGUGUAAAGGGAGCGUAGACGGCGAUGCAAGCCAGGAGUGAAAGCCCGGGGCUCAACCCCGGGACUGCUCUUGGAACUGCGUGGCUGGAGUGCAGGAGGGGCAGGCGGAAUUCCUGGUGUAGCGGUGAAAUGCGUAGAUAUCAGGAGGAACACCGGUGGCGAAGGCGGCCUGCUGGACUGCAACUGACGUUGAGGCCCGAAAGCGUGGGGAGCAAACAGGAUUAGAUACCCCCGUACCU